AAUGAACGCUGGCGGCAGGCCUAACACAUGCAAGUCGAGCGAGCAUUUCGGUGCUAGCGGCGGACGGGUGAGUAACGCGUGGGAACGUGCCCUUUUCUGCGGAAUAGUCCUGGGAAACUGGGGGUAAUACCGCAUACGCCCUUUUGGGGAAAGAUUUAUCGGAGAAGGAUCGGCCCGCGUUGGAUUAGGUAGUUGGUGGGGUAAUGGCCCACCAAGCCGACGAUCCAUAGCUGGUUUGAGAGGAUGAUCAGCCACACUGGGACUGAGACACGGCCCAGACUCCUACGGGAAGCAGCAGUGGGGAAUCUUAGACAAUGGGGGCAACCCUGAUCGAGCCAUGCCGCGUGAGUGAUGAAGGCCUUAGGGUUGUAAAGCUCUUUCAGCUGGGAAGAUAAUGACGGUACCAGCAGAAGAAGCCCCGGCUAACUCCGUG
rnacentral:rRNA from 1 species